rnacentral:lncRNA from 1 species
UGUCCCCCAUGUCCCCAAAGACACAGCCCAUGGGGUGGGAUGUCCCCCAGGACACCAGCUGUGGGGUGCCAUGUCCCCCCAGGACACCAGAACCCCAGCUAUGGGGUGGCAGGUCCCCAGUGUCCCUGGCCAUGGGGUGGCACGCCCCCCAGAAGACCAUCCAUGGGGUGGGAUGGCCCUCAGAGCACCAGCCAUGGGGUGGCAUGUCCCCUGUGUGCCCCAGAAGCUCAUCCAUGGGGUGGCAUGUCCCCCAUAACCCCAGCUAUGGGGUGGCAGGUCCCCAUUGUCCCUGGCCAUGGGGUGGCAUGUCCCCCAGAAGGCCAUCCAUGGGGUGACAUGUCCCUCAGGGCACCAGCCAUGGGGUGGCACGUCCCCUCUGUCCCCCAGAAGGCCAUCCGUGGGGUGACAUGUCCCUCAGGGCACCAGCCAUGGGGUGGCAUGUCCCCUCUGUCCCCCAGAAGCUCAUCCGUGGGGUGGCACGGCCCUCAGGGCAUCAGCUAUGGGGCAGCACGUCCCCCAUGUCCCCCAAGACACCAGCCAUAGGGUGGCAUGUCCCUCAGGACACCAGAAGCUCAUCCAUGGGGUGGCACCUACCCCACAACUCCAGCUAUGGGGUGGCACGUCACCAGUGUCCCUGGCCAUGGGGUGGGAUGUCCCUCAGAAGGCCAUCCAUGGGGUGGGAUGUCCCCAGGACACCAGCCAUGGGGUGGGAUGUCCCCCAGGAGCCCACAUAUGGGGUGGCACGUCCCCCAUGUCCCCCAGAAGGCCAUCCAUGGGGUGACAUGUCCCCCAGAACCCCAGCUAUGGGGUGGCACGACCCCCAAGACACCAGCUAUGGGGUAGCAUGUCCCCAGUGUCCCUGGCCAUGGGGUGGCACGUCCCCCAUAAGCUCAUCCAUGGGGUGGGAUGGCCCUCAGAGCACCAGCCAUGGGGUGGCAUGUCCCCUCUGUCCCCCAGAAGGCCAUCCGUGGGGUGGCAUGUCCCCCAGAAGCUCAUCCAUGGGGUGGUACCUACCCCAUAACACCAGCCAUGGGGUGGCAUGUCCCCCCUGUUCCCCAGAAGGCCAUCCAUGGGGUGGGAUGUCCCUCAGGGCACCAGCUAUGGGGUGGCAUGUCCCCAGUGUCCCUGGCCAUGGGGUGGCAUGUCCCCAGUGUCCCCCAGAAGGCCAUCCGUGGGGUGACAUGUGCCCAGGACCCUAGCCAUGGGGUGGGAUGUCCCCCAGAAGGCCAUCCAUGGGGUGGGAUGUCCCUCAGGACACCAGCCGUGGGGUGGGAUGUCCCCUCUGUCCCCCAGAAGGCCAUCCGUGGGGUGGGAUGUCCCCCAUGUCCCCCAUAACCCCAGCUGUGGGGUGGCAUGUCCCCCCAGAAGCUCAUCCGUGGGGUUGCAUGUCCCUCAGGACCCCAGCCAUGGGGUGGGAUGUCCCUCAGAACCACAUCUAUGGGGUGGCACGUCCCCCCUGCCCCCCAGGAACCCCACACAGGGGGUGCCAUGACCUCCAGGACCUCGGCCAUGGGGUGGCAUGUCCCCAUGAUGCCCCAUAGGACCUCACUUGGCCAUGGGGUGGGAUGUCCCUCCUGCCCCACACGUCCCCCCUGCCCCCC